GAGGAAUUUUCCGCAAUGGGCGAAAGCCUGACGGAUCGACGCCGCGUGUGGGAUGAAGGCCUUCGGGUCGUAAACCACUGUCGAAGGGGACGAUAAUGACGGUACCCUUGGAGGAAGCCCCGGCUAACUACGUGCCAGCAGCCGCGGUAAGACGUANNGGGCAAGCGUUGUCCGGAAUUAUUGGGCGUAAAGCGCUCGUAAGUGGAUUUGCAAGUCUGCAAGGAAAGACCCGAGCUCAACUCGGGAACCCGUGUGGAUACUGCAGACCUUGAGGUNGUCAGAGGAUGAUGGAAUUCCCGGUGUAGCGGUGAAAUGCGUNNNUAUCGGGAGGAACACCAGUGGCGAAGGCGAUCAUCUGGGGCUAACCUGACACUGAGGAGCGAAAGCUAGGGGAGCAAACGGGAUUAGAUACCCCGGUAGUCCUAGCCGUAAACGAUGGACACUAGGUGUAGGUGGUAUCGACUCCAUCUGUGCCGCAGUUAACACAAUA
rnacentral:rRNA from 1 species